GGACUUCGGUCUGGUGGCGAGUGGCGAACUGGUGAGUAAUGCAUCGGAUCGUGCCAUUGAGUGGGGGAUAACGUAGCGAGAGUUGCGCUAAUACCGCAUAUUCUGUGAGCAGGAAAGCAGGGGACCGCAAGGCCUUGCGCUCUUUGAGCGGCCGAUGUCAGAUUAGCUAGUUGGUGAGGUAAAGGCUUACCAAGGCGACGAUCUGUAGCGGGUCUGAGAGGAUGAUCCGCCACACUGGAACUGAGACACGGUCCAGACUCCUACGGGAGGCAGCAGUGGGGAAUUUUGGACAAUGGGGGCAACCCUGAUCCAGCCAUGCCGCGUGAGUGAAGAAGGCCUUCGGGUUGUAAAGCUCUUUCGGCCGGGAAGAAAUCGCAUGGGCCAAUACCCUGUGUGGAUGACGGUACCGGAAUAAGAAGCACCGGCUAACUACGUGCCAGCAGCCGCGGUAAUACGUAGGGUGCGAGCGUUAAUCGGAAUUACUGGGCGUAAAGCGUGCGCAGGCGGUUUUGUAAGACAGGCGUGAAAUCCCCGGGCUUAACCUGGGAACUGCGUUUGUGACUGCAAGGCUAGAGUACGGCAGAGGGGGGUGGAAUUCCACGUGUAGCAGUGAAAUGCGUAGAGAUGUGGAGGAACACCAAUGGCGAAGGCAGCCCCCUGGGUCGAUACUGACGCUCAUGCACGAAAGCGUGGGUAGCAAACAGGAUUAGAUACCCUGGUAGUCCACGCCCUAAACUAUGUCAACUAGGUGUUGGGUGGGUAAAACCAUAUAGUACCGUAGCUAACGCGUGAAGUUGACCGCCUGGGGAGUACGGCCGCAAGGUUAAAACUCAAAGGAAUUGACGGGGACCCGCACAAGCGGUGGAUGAUGUGGAUUAAUUCGAUGCAACGCGAAAAACCUUACCUACCCUUGACAUGCCAGGAACUUGCCAGAGAUGGCUUGGUGCCCGAAAGGGAGCCUGGACACAGGUGCUGCAUGGCUGUCGUCAGCUCGUGUCGUGAGAUGUUGGGUUAAGUCCCGCAACGAGCGCAACCCUUGUCGUUAAUUGCCAUCAUUUAGUUGGGCACUUUAACGAGACUGCCGGUGACAAACCGGAGGAAGGUGGGGAUGACGUCAAGUCCUCAUGGCCCUUAUGGGUAGGGCUUCACACGUCAUACAAUGGUCGGUACAAAGGGUUGCCAAGCCGCGAGGCGGAGCCAAUCCCAGAAAGCCGAUCGUAGUCCGGAUUGCAGGCUGCAACUCGCCUGCAUGAAGUCGGGAUCGCUAGUAAUCGUGAAUCAGCAUGUCACGGUGAAUACGUUCCC
rnacentral:rRNA from 1 species